GCUCAAUCUUGUGGUCCAAAUCAU
rnacentral:sRNA from 1 species